GGAAAUGACAGAGGGAGGGCGGGGGAACCAGGGUGGAGGAGUUCUGCUCGGUGACGCGGGCGAACCAGAAACGAGCGACACACUCAUGGCGCAGGAAACGGAGAUGGACUCAGCAGCCGCCACGCAGCCUUCCCUUCUCAUUCCCGCAGCGCUCAACAACGGCCACCAGGAAGACCGGAGCAUGUGGGGAGACACUUCCACAGGAGAGGACAUCAGCCACGGGUCUCACAGCGAAGGGCCAGAGGAAAAGGAAAUGGCCGUGGAGGAGAGGGCAGAGACAUGGCCAGACCUCGCUGACGCUCCUAGGGAGAGGGCAGCGAGGGGCUCGGAGACACCGCCAGCGGAAGACUCGACGGAGAGAGGGGAAGAGCUGACUCGUGCAGUUGAGGAGGGAGAGAUAGGGGAAGAGCUCGGCCACAGGGCUGGGCAGAGGAGCGAGAGAGGGGAAGAGCUCAGCGAGGAGGAGACUGAGAACGGCACGCAGUGUCACGCCACCGGGUCUCCCAGCAGGCAACAGGAAACAGACUGGACCGCCAGCCUCAGCGAAGAGCACAGCCUCAGCGAAGAUCACACUCUCAGCACCGAGCCCUCGCCUGAGACGGCAAGCACACACACACACUCGCAUGCCAUCAGCGACCAAGGACACCCGCUCAGUGAUGACAACAGCACGCACACAAACACGGACAGCAGCCUCAAAGAGAUGUGUUCUACUCAAGUUGAGGAGCAGCUGGAUCUGACAGUCAGUCUUAGACCUGGUAUGGCUCCUGGACCCGGCCACCUGCCAGAACCGGGUGGUACCAGCUGGGCUCCAGCGUCCUCAGAGGCUUGUGGGUAUGGACAGGAGCUGUCAUACGCCGCAGUAGUGAAACGGUCCUUGACAUCUGAUCAAGAGCAGACUGAAGAGGAGGUGGAGGAGGAGGUUGAGGAGAGAAAACAACAGGGCAACAGUGAGGAGGAAAAGUCCACAGUUCCUGAGGAAUCCCCCCUCCUACCUGCACCCUCGGGAGAGGUUACCACUGUCCCCCAACCAGAACCAGGGGACCACAUAGAGCAGGACACACACGACACACAGGCAGGUGUUGAAUCUUUCACAGACUCUGAGCCACACACACCAGCAGGUGCUGAACUCACACACGUAGAGCCGGACAACACGGCAGGUACUGAGUCAACGUCACACACUGCUCCUGAGACAGAGACAGAGCAGAGAGCAGAAGGAGGGAAGGUAGACAGAGAGGAACAGACGACAGUAAUGAUCCCAGGGGGAACUAAUUCCGAAACACAAAGCGUGCAGAGUGAGGGAACGGUUCCUGAAAACCACACAGUACAGAGUGAGGGAACGGUUCCUGAAACGUUCACUGCUCAGAGCGAAGGGACUAGUUCUUUGAUGGACACAACACAGAGCGAAGGAGCCCAUCUUCACACUCAAACGGUGCAGACUGAAGAGGCUGUUCUUGAAAUGCACACAGCGCAGAGUGAAGGGAAUAAUUCUUUGGCAGACCCAAUGCAAAAAGUAGAAAGAGCUGCAGCCUUACCAAGCAAAGAAGAAGAAGAAGAAGAAGAAGAAGAAGAAGAAGAAGAAGAAGAAGAAGAAGAAGAAGGUACUGAAGCCCCUCAGGCACACACUGACUUGACUCAGGAUGCUGAUUCGAGAGCUGAGGUGUCCAGUGAGCCACUUUCUGUUCCUCUGUGGGAAGGACCUGAUUCACUUACUGAGUCACAGGCAGACGCACAGAGUCCAGAGGAGGAGAUGGAGGGAGACGGACAAGAGUCAGCUGGGGAUACGGAGCACCAGAGGUCACCCGGGUUCGGAGAGGGCCCACAGGGAUCUGAAGAGGAUGGUCAGCCGACCAGGUCAACGGGAGGUUCCGAUAAGGGAUGUGUUCAGGUCGCCGUGGUGACCGCUUUAGAGAGAGCCAGUGAGGGUGCCGAGUCACCUGAUCGGAGUGCGAAGGGAAUUGAAGAUUCUGAAGGAGAGGAUGUGUGUAGUGAGACAAUCGCACGCACGCUUGCUGCAGACCUGCUGUCUGAGCCUCCCACAGAGACCUCCAGCAGCAUCAAGGGACCUGCGGUAGAGCCUUGCCCAGAGGAGCUCACCACCGCUGGGGAUGCGCACACGGUGGCCUCCUGCCUCACAGAUUCAGAGAGAGGGGUUGAUGACGCCUGCACAAACACAGACCUAAAUGAGACAGACACUCACACGGACACAAAACAAAGCAAGGUUGAGACUUGCGUGCACAUAACUCAAAGCCAGACAGAGACUGACACACACACAAUCCUAAAUGAGAUGGAAUGUCUCACACACGCAUCCCAAAGUGAAACAGAGACUCACACACACACAAAUGUAAACGAGACGGAGGUUUGUGCACAUAUGACCCAAAGUGGUACAGACACUCACACACACUUGGUCUUUCAGGAGAUAUUGGCAAACACACACACAUGCCAAAGUGAUCCACAGGUGUACACACAGCUGAACCCGAGUGGAUUAGAACCAGCUGCAGAUGCCGCUGGCCCACACAGAGAGGCCCAAACAGGCUCAUCUAUUCUACCCAACUGCUCUGUGAAUGUGGACUUGGGGUACGGCCCAGGUUUGCAGUCUGAUGCCACUGUCAAGGUGUGCCCUUACUCCUCCCAGGAAGUCAUCGAGGAGUGGGACACGCACCUGAGGUUGCAGUGUGAGCUGGAGACGCACACACAACUGGAGAGAGACACACUCCCAGAGACAGGAGCACACCUGGAGACACACUCCACACCAGGUGCAGCCAAAUCUGAGACGGUCGAGUGGGAGCCAUUGUCCCGUUUGGCGUGGAAUGACCCAAAGGCUUGGGAAAGUCACAGGCCCUCGCUAAGAGAUAAGUGUGAGAAGAGCAGUGUGGGGCAUCAUGAGCUCUGUUGGUGAUUGAGCUGGACUGCUGCUCUGCUGGUGAUUGAGCUGGACUAGGGGUCUCAGACCCACCCAUAGACAGUGGAAAACACUAUCAAAUCUUCACUUUCAUGAGUUUUAAGAUUUAAGGAUGUCUGCAUAUUAUGGAGUCGUUUAACACUGGACAUGGACUUCCAGAUUGUAGUUGAUGUUUAAUAUUUAAAAUGUUUAAAAAUGUUUGGGAAUACCGUG
ensembl:lncRNA